rnacentral:rRNA from 1 species
GGUUCGAUUAUGGCUCAGAUUGAACGCUGGCUGGAUGCUUUACACAUGCAAGUCGAACGGCAGCACGGACUUCGGUCUGGUGGCGAGUGGCGAACGGGUGAGUAAUGUAUCGAACGUGCUCUAGUAGCGGAUAACUACGCGAAAGCGUAGCUAAUACCGCAUACACCCUUCGGGGAAAGCGGGGACCUUCGGGCUCGCACUAUUAGAGCGGCCGAUAUCGGAUUAGCUAGUUGGUGGGGUAACGGCUCACCAAGCACGAUCCGUAGCUGGUUUGAGAGGACGACCAGCCACACUGGGACUGAGACACGGCCUGACUCCUACGGAGGCAGCAGUGGGGAAUUUUGGACAAUGGGGGAACCCCGAUCCAGCCAUCCUGCGUGUGCAGUGAGCGAAGGGCCUUCGGGUUGAAAAAGCACUUUGGCAGGGCAUGAAAACGGCACUACACCCGUGCAACUGACGGUACCUGCAGAACAUUAUGACUGGUUAAUUACGUGCCAGCAGCUGCGUAAUACGUAGGGCAAAAGCGUUAAUCGGAAUUACUAAAGUAAAGCGUGUGCAGUAUGUUCUGGAAAAGAAAGAUGUGAAAUCCCAGAGCUUAACUUUGGAAACUGCAUUUUUAACUACCGAGCUAGAGGUGUUGAGGGAGGUGGAAUUCCGCGUGUAGCAGUGAAAUGCGUAGAUAUGCGGAGGAACACCGAUGGCGAAGGCAGCCUCCGGGAUAACACUGACGCUCAUGCACAUGAAAGGGAAGCAAACAGGAUUAGAUAUCUUGGUAGUCCACGCCCUAAACGAUGUCAACUAGCUGCUGGGGCCUUCGGGCUCCUGGUAGCGCAGCAGCUAACGCGUGAGAAGUUGACCGCUCGGGAGCAUUACCAAGAUUAAAACUCAAAGGAAUUGACGGGGACCCGGCCGCGGUGGAUGAUGAUUAAUCUGAUGCACAACGCGAAAACCUUACCUACCCUUGACAUGUCUGGAAUCCCGAAGAUUUGGGGAGGUGCUCGCAAGAGAACCGGAACACAGGUGCUGCAUGGCUGUCGUCAGCUCGUGUCGUGAGAUGUUGGGUUAAGUCCCGCAACGAGCGCAACCUUGUCAUUAUUGUUACGAAAGGGCACUCUGACGAGACUGCCGGUGACAAACUGGAGGAAGGUGGGGAUGACGUCAAGUCCUCAUGGCCCUUAUGGGUAGGGCUUCACACGUCAUACAAUGGUCGGGACAGAGGGUCGCCAACCCGCGAGGGGGACAACUUGCGAAACCGAUCGGGAACCGGAUCGCAGUUCGCAACUCGACUGCGUGAAGUCGGAAUUGCCAGCAAUCGCGGAUCAGCAUGUCGCGGUGAAUACGUUCCCGGUCUUGUACACACGCCCGUCACACCAUGGAGUGGGUUUUACCAGAAGUAGUUAGCUCAACCGUAAGGAGGGCGAUUACUACUGGUAGGAUUCAUGACUGGGGUGAAGUCGUAACAAGGUGUAGCUCCAGCAUACCUGCUGGAUGC